rnacentral:rRNA from 1 species
GGUUCAUUCAAAUUUCUUCCCUAUCAACUUUCGAUGUUUGGGUAGUGGCCAAACAUGGUUGCAACGGGUAACGGAGGGUUAGGGCUCGACCCCGGAGAAGGAGCCUGAGAAACGGCUACUACAUCCAAGGAAGGCAGCAGGCGCGCAAAUUACCCAAUCCCGACCGGGGAGGUAGUGACAAUAAAUACUAAUACAGGGCUCUUUUGGGUCUUGUGAUUGGAAUGAGUACAAUUUAAAUCCCUUAACGAGGAACAAUUGGAGGGCAAGUCUGGUGCCAGCAGCCGCGGUAAUUCCAGCUCCAAUAGCGUAUAUUAAAGUUGUUGUGGUUAAAAAGCUCGUAGUUG